rnacentral:rRNA from 1 species
GACGAACGCUGGCGGCGUGCUUAACACAUGCAAGUCGAACGAAGUGGCGAACGGGUGAGUAACGCGUAAUCAACCUGCCCUUCAGAGGGGGACAACAGUUGGAAACGACUGCUCAUACCGCAUACUGAAGGCGGGGAUUGCGUCUGAUUGGCUAGUUGGGGGGGUAACGGCCCACCAAGGCGAUGAUGCGUAGCCGGUCCGAGAGGAGUAAAGGCCACAUUGGGACUGAGACACGGCCCAUACUCCUACGGGAGGCAGCAGGUGGGAAGCUUCCGCAAUGGACGAAAGUCUGACGGAGCAACGCCGCGUGAGUGAUGACGGCCUUCGGGUUGUAAAGCUCUGUUAAUCGGGACGCGGUACCGGAAUAGAAAGCCACGGCUAACUACGUGCCAGCAGCCGCGGUAAUUC